GGCUUGUGUUUCAUCAUUUUGACGAUCGUGUGCUUUCUUGAUCUUUAUGCUCCAAUGUCGGACUUUAAGAAAUAUAGCAUUUUGGACAUUACAUUUUAAAGUUACGUGUAACUAACAAAAUUAUUCUAAUGUCAAAUAAAUUAUCGCUAUUUUAACGGUUUUAUAAUAUAGCAACCCGCACGCCACAUACGUAGUAGCAGCUAUAUUAAAGAACAAAUGCACGUAUUUAUCAUAACAAUUUUUCUAAAGUUUUCACAAUUAACUGAUAUUAAAUCGACCAGAUGUAACAUAUUACAGGAUAUUACUUCUCCAGGCGAUAUUCAGUAGUCUACAACGUUUGUUGCGUGGAAUGGGAUGUUCGUAUAAAAUCAGAGUGCGUUUGAAGACGAAAGGAAGGAAGGUUUCAGCGAGAUUUUUGUCCAUUUUACGGAUUGCCUACUGGGAGGAAUAACGAGGUACUAUCACACAGAGUUUGGCAAAACGCCUUUUUAAAUACACACCUGGAACAAAUUCAGUAAAUCGAGGCAUGAUCAGUGGGUUAUGUAGCUUAUGUAGCCAAUAAAUUUCAUCUGACCUCUCCAUUUCUCAGAACUGUUCACGAUUAGUUCACGUUAAUUCGACCGACAGGGUACAGCAGAGUAACAAUCUGAGCUUUAAAGCUCCAUAAGCAGCCGUGUACCUUUAAGAGGCUCGUCAACAGAUCCUCGAUUAAGUGGGACUCCGUUUGUUAAAGAGCGCUUGGCGCCAGUCGGCUGGAGUCCCACAAUAAGAACCUACCCCUGUCAAUUCAUAUUUACCCCCGAAUUCUCAAACAGAGUGCACCCGUCCACUCAGUGUUCCACAAAGCUUACAUGUUGUUGAGAAAAAUCCACCCAAAUUUUGUGCCAGCCUUGUUCCGCUUUCAACAAUUAAUUAGACCUAGUGAAAGUCCACGGAUGGUAGAUUUAUCUCUUGUGUUUGAAACGAUGUCUGAAUCUGAUCAAUCCUGGCUAGACUACUUUGAGAAGAAACAAUGUCUGAUUGACAUUAAUUCCACACAUCAUUUGUUCAGAGAUUUGGAAAGUCAACAGGAAAUGCGUUUUGUUUGUUCUUUUCAGUUGACUUCGCCUAUUCCAUUCUCCGAAAUGCUCACUGUAAACCUCUGAAAUGACUUCCUACUGAAAGACUCAAAAACUGUCCUGAGAGGGAGACACAGGUUGCUUCUGACCUAAUAGUAGCCUACCGUCAGAGAUAUGAAGCAGCUCUUCGGGCUUGAAUUUAUGACAGAUGCGAGGAUCUUGAGUUAGGCUAUGUAUCUUUGUUUGGAUGGAAAGAUUAAUUUCAGAACAACAGAAGAAGGACAUACAUAUAUUGUUUUGGAUCAUCCUGUAUCGACAUGUUCGUCUUUGGAACUGAAGCAUAGAUAUGUAUAGGUAAAUGCCACAUUUAUCUGCUCCAGACACGUUAAUGUGUCCGCCAUCUCAAGUUUCAAGAUACCAAAUCAUUGCACAGAAAUUUAAAAAUCCUGAAGAUAUUGGAUAAACUUUCACAGUGGUCCCCAACCAGCAACCAAAGCCCAGUGAGGAGACAGAACAAGAGCCUACGACUUCCAAGAAAAAGAAAGCUGCAUUUAACAGGCAAUACCAGGAGUCCUACUUAAAAUACGGAUUCAUUGCGACAGGUGAUUCCCACGAACCUAGCCCGCUCUGUAUAAUAUGCUGCGGCCGGCUCUCUAAUGAGGCAAUGAAGCCUUCAAAACUGCUUCGCCACUUGGAGACCAAGCACCCUGCAUUAAGAGACAAACCCUCUGAGUAUUCUGAAAUAAAAAAACGGGAACACGAAGGACAGAAGAAAUUACUGAGGGCCACCGCAUCAACAAAUGCGAGUUCACUGAGAGCAUCAUACUUGGUGGCUAACCGUAUUGCUAAGGCUAAGAAGCCAUUCACUAUUGGUGAAGACUUGAUCCUGCCGGCCACUAAAGACAUUUGCCGUGAACUUCUAGGAGAGGAUGCGGUUAAAAAGAUAGCACAGGUGCCUCUGUCGGCUAGCACGGUCACUCAGCGCAUUGAGGAAAUAGCAGAAGACAUUGAGAAACAAUUGUUGGAGAGGAUUAAUACAUCACCGUGGUACGCGCUCCAGGUUGACGAGUCUACAGAUGUUGACAACAGGGCAAUACUACUUGUUUAUGUGCGAUAUCUUUAUCAGGAGGAUGUGCAUGAGGAUAUGUGCACUAUCGUUGCCAACCAACACCACAGCCACAGAACUCUUCAAGUCGCUGGAUGGUUAUAUAUCAGGAAAACUGAAAUGGUCCUUUUGUGUCGGCAUAUGCACAGAAGGUGCUGCUGCCAUGACCGGACGGUCUGGUUUAACUGUUGUUAAAGUUAUUAACCACAUCAAAGCACACGCCCUUAACUCACGCCUGUUUGUGCAGCUUUGUGAGGAGAUGGACGCGGAGCAUUGACGUCUUCUCUUAUACACAGAAAUAAGAUGGUUAUCCCGAGGGAAAUCGCUGACCAGAGUGUUUGACGAGAACCGCUGCAGAGAUUUCUAUCAGAAAAGAAGUCACCGCUGGCAGCACAUUUCAGUGACGGGGAAUGGGUCGCAAAACUGGCUUACUUAUGCGACAUAUUCAACCUUCUCAAUGAACUCAAUCUGUCACUUCAGUCUUCAAGUUGGCAGAUAAAGUAGCUGCAUUUAAAGCCAAACUUGAUUUGUGGGGACAGCGCGUGAACAGAGGCAUAUUGGACAUGUUUCAAACAUUAGCGGGGAUUUUGAGUGAGACUGAGCCUGAGCCGUCAUUCUCCCAGCUGGUGCACGAUCACAUGUCUUUGCUUUUAAAAGAGUCUGAGCGCUACUUCCCAACCACAAAAGACCCACAAACCACAAAGGAAUGGAUCCGCAACCCAUUUGUCAACAAACCAGGUGAAUCCAGCAUGUCUGUGCAAGAAGAAGAUCAACUGCUGGAGAUCGCAAAUGAUGGCGGCCUUAAAAGUAUGUUCGAGACAACAACUCUGCCGGUGUUCUGGAUUAAAGUCAUGGCAGAAUACCCUGAGAUCGCCACAACAGCACUGAAAACCCUGUUGCCAUUUCCGACAUCCUAUCUGUGUGAAGCAGGGUUUUCUGCAGUGACAGCAACCAAAACAAAAUUACGGAGUAGGCUGGACAUAAGCAACACACUUCGGGUGUCAUGGUCUCCCAUUACCCCUAGAUGCGAUAGUCUCAUUGCAGAGAAACAAGCUCAAGGCUCCCAUUGAUUUAGCGUUAUGGUGAGCUAAAAUUUUCAUGGACUUUAUAUUCGUUUUUGUGGUGU